rnacentral:rRNA from 1 species
AAACCAAGAAGAUUAAGUCAUACAUGUUCGGUAAAAAGAUAGUUAGGUUUUAGCAAAUAGUCUUUUUAAUUAUUAUUAAGAAGUAAAAUUCGUAAAUGAUAUAGAAAUUUAAUUAAGACUCUAAUACUGAAGCUAUGAAACCCUUGAGGGAAACUGGGAUUAGAUACCCCACUAUUCUAGGAAAUAAAUUAAUAUUCUUUACCAGAGUACUAUGAAUUUAUAAUAUUUAAAACUCAAAGAGCUUGGCGGUGUUUUAGACUUUUUAGGGGAACCUGUCUCAUAAUCGACAAUCCACGUAAAACCUGACCUUUAUUUGCUUUCAGUUUGUAUACCGUCGUCGUCAGGUAACUUUUAAGAAGAUAGAAGUUAGCAAAAGAAUUUUAGAUAAAUUCUUACGUCAGAUCAAGGUGCAGCUUACAUAAAGGGAGGGAUGGGUUACAAUUAUAAGAAUUAUAAUUACCAAGUAAUAAUCUUAAAUAAUAAUUACAAAGGAGGACUUAAAAGUAAAAUAGAAUAUAUAAAUAUAUUGAAUUAAGCUCUGAAACGUGC